GACGAACGCUGGCGGCGUGCUUAACACAUGCAAGUCGAACGGAAAGGCCUGCUUUCCCUUGUGGAUUGCGGGUACUCGAGUGGCUAACGGGUGAGUAACACGUGAGUGAUCUGCCCCCACCUUGGGUAUAAGCCUGGGAUACUGGGUCUAAUUCCCGAUAGGACUGCAGGGUUGUGCCUGUGUUGGAAUACGAUUUUCUAGUGGUUGGGGGUGGGCACGCGGCCUAUCAGCUGGUUGGUGGGGUAAUGGCCUACCACGGCGGCGACGGGUAGCCGGGCAGGGAGAGUGGACGGCGACAUUAGGAAUGGGAUACGGCCCAGACUCAGGCGGGAGGCAGCAGUGGGGAAUAUUGCGCGAUGGGCGGAAGCCUGAUGGAGGGACGCCGCGUGGGGGAGGACGGCCUGCGGGUUGUAAACUGCUUGCGGCCGCGAGGAAGCCACAUGGUUGGAAGGGUGGUGACGGUAGUGGUAGAAGAAGCACCGGCAAACUAGGG
rnacentral:rRNA from 1 species